CUCCCUCCCUCCAUCUCUCUCUCCCUCUGACAUCACUCCACUCUCUAACUGUUUCUGGCAUUUCUUUUUCGCUUCUGCCGCAGUCGUAGUCGAGCUGAUUUGAUUUGUAACUGCUGUUCGAGGCAGCCUGCAGGAGUCAGGAAGCAGCCAGGCUGGGACCAGGAUGACCACAGCCGCUCCAGGCAAUGUGGACAAGGUGACAGGGUCACCCCGGAUGGAGAGAGUGCAGCUGGUCAGAGGAAGGAGAGAGGAGAGAGAGAAGAGUCAGGGUAUUAGAGCAUCCAACUGGAGGGCUACGUCAUCUGUCACUGUGACACACACUCCUACACACACAAUACACACAGGGUCGUAGCUAACGUGGGGAAAGCGUGGUCCUGAUUCGCUGGGCCCGUGCCUUGGGGGCACCCAGUGAUGGUAAUAAUAUAUACAGUGGAUAUAAAAAGUCUACACACCCCUGUUAAAAUGCCAGGUUUUUGUAAAGGAAUGAGACAAAGAUAAAUCAUGUUAGAACGUUUUCCACUUUUAAUGUAGACUUUUUAUAUCCACUGUACAUUCGUCUGUAUGUGUGGGGGCAUAUCGUUUUUCUGGGGGCCCAGGAUUCCUGGCAACAGCCCUGCUUACACAUGCAUGCUGAUAGUAUUCAGUCUAAAGACUUCAAGCCUACAUAAGUCACAUGGCAAAGCAACUGGCGAGGUACUGCUCUGUGUUGGCCGUUUGUAUAAGUCCAGAUAUCUGUGUCCUGAAUGAUUGGAACUUUUAUUCUAACUUAUGGGUUGAAGAGGUUUUUUAAAUGCGUGAUUAGACCUGGAGAAGUUCCUGCGUAAUAAGGACCGGCGCUUGAGGCAGCAACUGGAGCGCAGUGCAGACGAACGAUGGAGGAGGAUGGAGGAGCAGAAAAAAAGGGAGGAGGAGAGGAGGGCAGCAGUGGAGGACAGGAGACGACAGCAGGAAGAUGAGGAGAAGGUCAGAGGUCAAAAACUACCAUCCCCUCUCUCUCUCUCUCUAUACCCUUCUAAAUGUAACCCCAUUUAAGAACGCUCACACACUCAUCUCCCUCAAUUUCUCCCUUUCUGUUUUUCGGACUUGGCGAUUCCCCAAAAGACCACUGACCGUCCUUAUAUGAGCGACUGACCUCCGGUAGGGGAUUGUACACGGGGCUGUAGCCGUCAGUAGGCAUCUCGUGCACCUGGAUCCUAGUGUUUGGGAGGGGUGGCCAUUUUGUGCCGAGUCUGAAACCCUGGUUCACCAGUUUUUACAGUGUCCCAGAUUAUCUGGGCUGGUUGAGGUGGCAACCAGCUGGUUCUCUAUUCUGGGACCGUAUACCAAUUAGGGAACGCAUGAGUUUAGGCAGUCAAAGCAUCCAUUUGGGGAGCCAGACAGACGCGUUAGGAGACACUGCAUACUGAGGCAGGGGUCUGUGGACGCGAUGGGUUUGCUGGAGGAGAGCGAGGCUGAUGGCUGAAUGUGCCUGUUACCGACUGGUGGGAAGCCUUUUGAUCAGGAUAUUGGGCUUUCAGGGGAUGUUGAGGAAAGAGAUUUGGAGUUGUUUACAUUUUUUAUUUUUUAUCCAUGUUUUCAUUUGAAUUAGUGUUAACUGAAGUGUGGAGUCUCCUAGUCAAUAAAGAUAUUUAAAGCUAAAAAAUCUCACCUACUUACUUCCAUCUCUGCUCUUUCCAUCGGUCCUGUUGUAUUUGCUCGGUUCGUUGAAAUGUUCUUUGAAAAGCAGGCUGUUGGUGAAUAUCUCAGUUUGCGAUUCGAAAUGUAACAUUGGACUCAUUGUGAGCCUGGACUGGGCUGGUGUGUGGAGGGUUAACCAUCGAACAACCGUCGGUCACCGUCUCUGGGGUCUUAACCCUAGGAACUACUCAUUCUGCUGGUUUUGUGUCUAUUGAUCUAUUGAUCGUCAGCCGACAAACCCCUCCUUUUUAUGGUAAUGAGUGAACGAUUGGGCGACCUCAGGGAGUGCAUCAUGACAUCAUCGCUGACUUAUCAGGUGUCAUUUCCUGGAAUCAGACUGUGCACAGUGUGGGUUUUAGCAUACACACACAUAUACACACACACACACACACACACACUCAUAGUAAAGUGUAGUCUGUUCCGUACAUAUUUAUAUGAAGGCCAGGGAGUUCCAAUGAGUGGUAGACUUAUCUCAUAGCGGCUCCUUGUGGUGGGCCAGGAACCUGCAAGUUGACUGAGGUUGACAGUCCAACAGGUUUUCCUCCAAAACACGGAUGUAGCAGCCCAGCUUGGUGAAUCCUGUUUUGAAGGAUGCAUAUGCCCAUCUUCUCUCCCAUGCCUGCUGGAAUGUGCUUCUUUGAGACAAGGUCACAAUAACAGAUUGGAUACCAGAACAUUGGGAGAGAACAGGAGUAUAAUUGGAUAAACAAAUUUAAAUGAACCCGCCAGAAAUUGCCUGUAGAACGGAUGUUUUUAGAUUGCUGCAGUUAACAAUUCAAGUGUAUAUAUUGAUGAGAAUACGUCUGUUUGUUGUGUAGUUGGGGUGUGAGUGUCUUCUGCUGUAGGACUCUGUGGAGGUUCUAUUUUCUUUCAGGAUCCGUUUUUUUUUGGUUGCCGUAGCGACUUUGUCCGCUAUCACCUCAAAUGGCUGUUUCACUCUCUCUGUCACUCCCUCUCUGCCUAUUUCUUUCUUUCUUUCUUGCUCUCCCUGCUGUAUGUAAAUCUCAGUCCAGACAGGAAGGAGUUAACCCACCAGUGAAAUACAAUCUCUGAGCAGAUGAAGGCAGGAGGGAGA